rnacentral:rRNA from 1 species
UGGGGAAUAUUGGACAAUGGGCGCAAGCCUGAUCCAGCCAUGCCGCGUGAGUGAUGAAGGCCCUAGGGUUGUAAAGCUCUUUCACCGGUGAAGAUAAUGACGGUAACCGGAGAAGAAGCCCCGGCUAACUUCGUGCCAGCAGCCGCGGUAGUACGAAGGGGGCUAGCGUUGUUCGGAUUUACUGGGCGUAAAGCGCACGUAGGCGGACUAUUAAGUCAGGGGUGAAAUCCCGGGGCUCAACCCCGGAACUGCCUUUGAUACUGGUAGUCUUGAGUUCGAGAGAAGUGGGUGGAAUACCGAGUGUAGAGGUGAAAUUCGUAGAUAUUCGGAGGAACACCAGUGGCGAAGGCGGCUCACUGGCUCGAUACUGACGCUGAGGUGCGAAAGCGUGGGGAGCAAACAGG